GGCAGUCUGGUGAUUAAAGUGUGUGUGUGUGUGUGGGCAGUUCAGUGUGCUUGCAGAUUAAUGUGCGCAUGUGCCUCUGCUGAACAUGUGUCUAUUAAAGCAGAGUCUGAUCUCAGAGAGACUCAGAUGGAGAGACAGAGAGACAAACAGACAGAUAGACAGACAGACAGACACCAUGUCUCCCUCCCAGUCCUCCCUACUUCUGCUACUGCUGAUGGUCUCCUGCUCCUGGGCCUCACACUUUUUAGGAGGAACCAUGACCUUCAACCCCAGAGGGACCAACCCAGACGGAACCUACAGGGUGGACCUCCGUUACAAGACAGCCUUCCACUCUACCGUCUGCCUAACUGAUACCUGGUCGUGUAUCAGUGGGGACUGUGGGAAUGAGAUCAGUUUAGUGGUUAACACAGUGGACCAGGGGAUAUCUGAGGACUGGUGUCAGACAGAGGGAGUCAUGACUAGACACGUCUCCAAUAACACACAGACUUUUGAUCUGCUAUUGGAUGGCGGAAACUGGAUAAACAAUGUUAAUUCUGUUAGUGCUUGGAGGCUGUGGACUCAUGUGGAUCUUGGGGUCAGGUCUGACACGAAGACAAUCAACCGAUCUCCACAGACCACUGUCGUACCUCUGAUGCGUGUCCCUGCUAAUUGUCCAAGAGAUUUCAACCUGUUGUCGUUUGAUCCAGACGGGGAUGAGGUCAGAUGCAGAUAUGCAGUACCAACGGACGAGUGUGUCACAUCAAGUGACCUUCCUAAUGACUUCACUCUACAAGAGUGGACCCCCCGGUGACAUCCUGUAUGGAGGGCUUGUACCUACCUAUGUUCCUGUCUCCAACGCCAGCCCAGGGUGCACUGCUCUACGCCUCUGCAGACCAACCCCUGGAAAUCACUGUCAGAGCACAGGCUACCCAGUCCACGGUUUCAGAGCUGUUGGUGAGUGGACCUUCCAGUAUCACAGAGAACACCACUGUCCCAGGAGAAUACCUUCUAAGGUGGACGCCCACUGAGGAUGAGGAGGGAGGGUACUAUCCUGUGUGCUUCAUCGCUCAGGGAGUGAACGACAGGUCAGUCUGCUGCCACUUCAACUGGAAACUUAUAGCACAACAUAAUGACUUACCUGAUUAAAUAAAGGCACAAAACAAAGUGACAUAAUGCAUCAUUUCUGUAGGCUACUAUCAAGACGAUCAGUUGAAUGUACAUUUAGACACAUUUUGGUAGAAUCCAUUCAGUUGUGCAACUGACUAGGUUUUAACCUGCCUUUCC
ensembl:lncRNA